rnacentral:tRNA from 1 species
GGGGUUGUACCUUAGUGGUUGAGUGCUUGCCUAGCAUGCAUGGGGCACUGGGUUUGAUCCUCAGCACCACA